rnacentral:ncRNA from 1 species
AAGUUUUGGUCCUAAACUUGCCAUUCUUUUUUAUCAAAAUUAUACAUGCAAGCCUCCACACACCAGUGAGAAUGCCCACAUAUCCCUAAAUAGAUAGCCGGAGCAGGCAUCAGGAUUCAACACAUUUUAGCCUAAAACGCCUUGCUUACGCCACCCCCACACGGGUAUUCAGCAGUAAUUAACAUUAAGCACAUGAGCGAAAGCUCGACUUAGUUAUGAUAAAUUAUGGUCGGUAAAUUUCGUGCCAGCCACCGCGGUUAUACGAAAGACCAAAAACAAUGGCCUUCGGCGUAAAGCGUGACCCUGGAAAUAAUAAAUACUAGGGGGGCACAACCUCCCAGUUGUAAAACACCCCUGCUAGUUGGAACACCAACACACGCCCCUAGUCCUCCUUUCCCCCUCACGAAAGCUAAGAAACAAACUGGGAUUAGAUACCCCACUAUGCUUAGCCCUAAACACAGAUAUUUUAACACACCAAUAUCCGCCAGAGAACUACAAGCGAAAAGCUAGAAACUCCAAGGACUUGGCGGUGCUUCAAACCAACCUAGAGGAGCCUGUCCUAUAAUCGAUACUCCACGUUCUACCUUACCCCCCCUAGCCAUUCAGCCUAUAUACCGCCGUCGUCAGCCUACCUUAUGAAAGAAAUAAAGUAAGCAAAACAGUUAAUAACUAAAACGUCAGGUCAAGGUGUAGCACAUGGGCGGGCAGAGAUGGGCUACAUUUUCAAAACGAACACACGGAUAAUAUAUUGAAAUAUAUAUUUGAAGGCGGAUUUAGUAGUAAAAUAAACAAGAAAGCCGUAUUGAAAGCUGCUCUGAAGCGCGCACACACCGCCCGUCACCCUCAUUA